UUUAUUGAGAGUUUGAUCCUGGCUCAGGACGAACGCUGGCGGCGUGCCUAACACAUGCAAGUCGAGCGAGAGGAGUUCCUUCGGGAACAAUCUAGCGGCGGACGGGUG
rnacentral:ncRNA from 1 species